CUUGUUUUUUUCUAGUACAUGCUGCACUUUUUUUCCUUUGCAUUUCAGGAUGUUUCUGAGGUCGAAUUUUAAUGGGGCAAGCGCCCCCUUACAGCGCGCCUCGAAUAUCGAUGCAGCUUCUCAUUGACAUAGGGGGAUUUUGUUGGAAACUCUGUGUAACCCUUCUGUGAAAUCGUGCGAACGCGAUCAGGCUUAUGAUAAUGUCGCAGUAGAAAAAGAGCCUGAACUGGUUUACGUUAUAACUGCGCGUCGAAAUACCGUGGCCGGUGGUCAGAGCGCGUCUCUUAACAUCUGCGCACUUAUUUGGUUUCAGCAUGUGGCAUUAACGCGUCUAAUCCGUUUCACCUUCGGAAUGUGAUUCACGUGGGGACGUGUGAUAAAUUGAUAUCCUUGCUCUAGCACUAGUGCCGUGUCUGAGCAGAAGUUAUGCAAGGGGGGGAAACGAGUGAAUGCAGACUAGCAACCUAUGCACACGCAUACAGACAAAGCAAGCACUCUAUGUGAACUAUACAGGGAUGAUGCUCGCCACCCCUUUGAUAGAUUUUGUGUUCCCUGCGAAGACGAAUGAAAGAAAAGCUUUCGCCACGUGCGUGCAACAUGUAGGUUGUCUGUGUUUUACCGCCAACGUGCACACCUGAAGGCGCGUCGAAAUGUUAUGAUAGUGUGAACUCGCUUGAAAGUGUGGUACUGGUGAAGUGCGAGAACUCCACAGUUUUAUUUCUGUUCUGAAUGACGAGCCGCGAUGAUGUCACACGAACGUCAGCCUAACAGCGCAUUUGAGGGCUGCCUUGUACGGUUGGCAGACGGCGCGUGGCGAAGGCGCUUGCCACCGUCGCCGGUAGGCUUUUGGCACGAACGGUUCGCGGUGUGAAUCUUGGCCGCGACAGCCAUCCUUGUUGGGGCCGUAAUACAUGCCGGACAAAUGGGAGGAAAAUGAGCUCCGUCUCGUGUUCUUCCGUUUUCCAGGGGCUUGCCCCCGCAUUCUUAGCAUUCGCCGAGGCCGGAGUCUAGGCCCUUGGCGUCGCAGCGGAUGCGACAGGAAGCAGCCAAGCCAAAGGUCUCUGGGGGCAGCCGCGUAGGCAAUGAGACGUGAAAACUUUAGUAAGCUGAGCGGUAGUUCGUCGGGAACACUCCACAAUGAGGGAGAGCGACGUGUCUAAUUCGGUCGACCUGUACUUUUUGCGUACUCUGUCUGCAUGCUGUCAAGCCUUGCCAGAUAGAUCAUCUUUGGAUGAGGGUUACAGAAUGACACGUCUACUUUUUGGGGGCAAGAUACCGUCUGUACAUAUACAGACUGAAAGUGCUACAAUUUUCAAUGCUUGUUCACGGGGACUAGGAAGGGGGUGGGGGGGAAGGGUGAUAUGUUGUACCACUUUACGUAAUGCUACAGCAUUCCUUCGGUGGUACCGUAAAUGUUCGUGAGCAGCGAUAGAAACACCAACGUAAGCAGAUCCUGUUUCAUCACAGAUUUGUCCUGGAGA
rnacentral:lncRNA from 1 species